rnacentral:rRNA from 1 species
AUGGCUAUGAUGGGCAUCAUCAAGACCGACAUAGCGCCGGAGACGGCGUACGAGACGGAGCCCAUGUCUCAGGCUACAGCCAGCUCCGCCGCGGCGGGCGCGCGGUACCGCAGGGGUUUGCUCUCGAGGAUGAUGCCGCGGGGGCACUACUCGUCCGUCGGCGCCGAGAACGGAAGGGCGCCCGAGGCGGCACCGAUGCCCCCGGCCGCUGCCGAUGGCUCGGAGGUCGCGGAGAAGCCGCGGCGCGGCUGGCUGCGGCGGCUGAUACCGCAGCAGCGGCGGCGCUGGAAGAAUCUGGGCGGCGCCAGCGCGUCGAGGCUGGCCGGACUGUCGCGAUCGCUGCGGUGGAAGCGGCUGUCCGUGAACCUGAGGGGCAGCUGGGCGUCGGCGCUGCUGGACACCGUCGCGUUCCGCGUGAUGUACGUGGUGGAAGCCAUCGUGCUUGGCCUCGCGCUCUCCUGCUUCUUCUGCUGCUGCGGCUGCCAGAUAUAG